GUUGAGUUUUCUAGCUUCAUGCAUUGCUCUUAAUAAUACAUAUUGCUAUGAGGUAUAACAUUUGGUUCAGGGCCGUUUUUAAGUUCCAGUCGGCAAGUCUGUAUCCAGGGCCGUAGUUAGCAUGUAUAGUUGGGGGGAUGUAGGCCAAAAAUUUGCGAAUGACGAAAAUAAUUUCCGAAUAUAUCAUUGCAUACUAAGCCACGAAGGUGUUUGCUAUUCUAAAAAUGAAGACGCAAUUUACAAACAAAAAAUGGUAGGGAGCUUUUGUUUAUUGGGGGCAGAAAACGAGGGCCGAGGAGAUUUUUUAAUUUCGAGUCUCUGAAAUGCCAUUUCCUGGACUUUGGGGGAAGUUUUGACAGAAUGCUGAUGGUCAG